UACAGAGGGGGCGAGCGUUGUUCGGAAUUACUGGGCGUAAAGGGCGCGUAGGCGGCCAACUAAGUCGGACGUGAAAUCCCAAGGCUCAACCUUGGAACUGCGUCCGAUACUGGAUGGCUUGAAUCCGGGAGAGGGAUGUGGAAUUCCAGGUGUAGCGGUGAACUGCGUAGAUAUCGGGAGGAAGACCAGUGGCGAAGGCGGGUCUCUGGGCCAUUACUGACGCUGAGGAGCGAAAGCGUGGGGAGCGAACAGG
rnacentral:rRNA from 1 species